GGUGUGCUUAAUACAUGCAAGUCGAACGAUAAGGUCACUUCGGUGAUACAUAAGUGGCGGACGGGUGAGUAACACGUAGGUUACCUACCUCAAGGAGGGGGAUAACACUGGGAGACUGGUGCUAAUACCCCAUAUGUCCUUCGGGAUGAAAGCUCUGGCGCCUUGAGAUGGGCCUGCGGCUGAUUAGCUAGUUGGUGGGGUAAAAGCCUACCAAGGCGACGAUCAGUAGCUGGUCUGAGAGGAUGAUCAGCCACAAUGGAACUGAGACACGGUCCAUACUCCUACGGGAGGCAGCAGUAGGGAAUUUCGCGCAAUGGGCGAAAGCCUGACGCAGCAGCACCGCGUGUGGGAUGAAGCUUUUCGGAGUGUAAACCACUGUCAGUGGGGACGAAUAAAUGACGGUACCCACAGAGGAAGCAUCGGCUAACUACGUGCCAGCAGCCGCGGUACGAGGUAGGAUGCCAGCGUUGUCCGGAAUAAUUGGGCGUACAGCGUACGCAGGCGGCAUGUCCAGUCUGAUGUUAAAGCCCGGAGCUCACCUCCGGUUUCGGCAUUGGAUACUUGCAAGCUAGAGUGCAGAAGAAGCCAAAGGGAAUUCCUAGUGUAGCGGUGAAACUGCGUAGAUAUUAGGAGGAACACCAGUGGCGUAAGGCGCCUUGCUGGUCUGUGACUGACGCUGAGGGACGAUAGCCAGGGGAGCAAAUGGGAUUAGAUACCCCAGUAGUCCUGGCCGUAAACGAUGGAUACUAGGUUUCGCGGUUAUCGACCCCCGCGGUCCUGCAGCUAACGCAAUAAGUAUCCCGCCUGGGGAGUACGCACGCAAGUGUGAAACUCAAAGGAAUUGACGGGGACCCGCACAAGCGGUGGAACAUGUGGUUUAAUUCGAAGCAACGCGAAGAACCUUACCAGGGCUUGACAUCCUAGGAAGUCUGCAGAGAUGCGGAUGUGCCCUUCGGGGAACCUGGUGACAGGUGGUGCACGGUUGUCGUCAGCUCGUGUCGUGAGAUGUUGGGUUAAGUCCCGCAACGAGCGCAACCCUCGUUGUUAGUUGCCAGUAAGAGCCUGCUCUUGCUGUGCUCUCUAGCGAGACUGCCGGUGAUAAACCGGAGGAAGGUGGGGACGACGUCAAAUCAUCAUGCCCCUUAUGUCCUGGGCUACACACGUGUUACAAUGGGUAGGACAGCGAGCAGCCAACCAGCGACGGUGAGCAAAUCUCUUAAACCUACUCUCAGUUCGGAUCGCAGUCUGCAACUCGACUGCGUGAAGUCGGAAUCGCUAGUAACCGUAGAUCAGCACGCUGCGGUGAUACGUUCCCGGGUCUUGUACACACUGCCCGUCACACCAUGGAAGCUGACCACGCCCGAAGUCGGUGAGCUAACUCUUUGAGAAGCAGCCGCCUAAGGCA
rnacentral:rRNA from 1 species